rnacentral:rRNA from 1 species
ACGUAUGUCGCAAGCGUUAUCCGGAUUUAUUGGGCGUAAAGCGCGUCUAGGCGGUUUGGUAAGUCUGAUGUGAAAAUGCGGGGCUCAACUCCGUAUUGCGUUGGAAACUGUCAAACUAGAGUACUGGAGAGGUGGGCGGAACUACAAGUGUAGAGGUGAAAUUCGUAGAUAUUUGUAGGAAUGCCGAUGGGGAAGCCAGCCCACUGGACAGAUACUGACGCUAAAGCGCGAAAGCGUGGGUAGCAAACAG